UUCCAGCUCUUACCAGACUAUUGGAUCCCUGCUGUGAGGGUCACAAUCUGCAUGAGACUAAUAUCAGGAAUGAAUAUGCUUACUACACUUGUAUUGGGAAGGUACUAGGACAACAAGCAGACCUGCCCCGACUCAAACCAGACACAUCCUAUGUGUACUUUGUAGGAGACAGUCACUGUGUCACCCCUGCCUGGCAGAAAAUCCUGUACCAGGUAAG